rnacentral:rRNA from 1 species
AGAGUUUGAUCCUGGCUCAAAACGAACGCUGGCGGCGUGGAUAAGACAUGCAAGUCGAACGGAACAUUAUGAGUAGCAAUACAAGUAAUGUUUAGUGGCGAACGGGUGCGUAACACGUGGAUACAUUCCGGGAAGCGGGGGAUAGCCCAGGGAAACUUGGAUUAAUACCGCAUGUGAUCGAAAGAUCAAAGACGGGGACCGCAAGGCCUGUCACUUCCCGAUUGGUCCGCGGCCUAUCAGCUAGUUGGCGGGGUAAAAGCCCACCAAGGCGACGACGGGUAGCUGGUCUGAGAGGACGACCACCCACACUGGAACUGAGACACGGUCCAGACACCUACGGGUGGCAGCAGUCGAGAAUCUUUCACAAUGGGGGCAACCCUGAUGGAGCGACGCCGCGUGGAGGAUAAGGUCUUCGGAUUGUAAACUCCUGUCAUGUGUGAACAAGGUUGCGGGGCUAAUACCUUUGCAAAUUGAUGGUAACACAAGAGGAAGAGACGGCUAACUCUGUGCCAGCAGCCGCGGUAAUACAGAGGUCUCAAGCGUUGUUCGGAAUCACUGGGCGUAGAGGGUGCGUAGGUGGCGUGGUAAGUCAGAUGUGAAAGCCCGGGGCUCAACCUCGGAAUUGCAUCCGAUACUGCCAUGCUUGAGUACUGAAGAGGUGACUAUAAAUUCUAGGUGUAGCAGUGAAAUGCGUAUAUAUCUAGAGGAAUACCAAAGGCGAACGCAUGUCACUGGGCAGUUACUGACACUGACGCACGACGCCAGGAGGAGCGAACGAGUAUUAGACACCCCCGGUAGUCCUAGCAGUAAACGUGCACGUUUUUGUGUGAUUGGCCCCAAUCCGACCCGCGCCCGUGACAGGAGCUACGCGAUUAAACGUGCGGCCUGAGGUAAGUACCGUCGCAUGAAUCAACUCGAGAGUUGACAGGCACGUAAGCGGGAUAGAUAAUUAUGUGUGCCUUUAAUUCC